rnacentral:lncRNA from 1 species
AAGAAUAAGCAAUGUUAGUAUCCUGAUCCAUAACUAUGAUGGCAUUCUAUUCCAAGUUACACAGGAAGGCCGCAAAAGGCGGAUUUGAGAGCUCGAAUUCUUGAGCAAUUUCGCUGAGACGGACUCGAUCACUGAGCUACUGUUUUAAUUAAAGUCCUUAACUAGUUUCGUCUUUUAGAUUAUCCAAUAAGCAUUGCACUGUUGAAUUAUUAGGCAAUUGUUCAAACUAAAACUAAUUGACAAGUACAGAGAAUCUUGUCGAGGGUUCAUAUAGAUCUAGUAGGGCAGGCAAGACAUUUAAACUGCUAAAUAAUGCAACAGUGGUCCACCAUCUGCUUAAUAAACAUGACAUGUAUAUACACGUGUCAUGUUAUCUAAACUACAGAUUUUUUUUUUUUUUUUUCUAUUAACUUUAAAUAUGUUUAGAAUGUUAGUAUUGACCCCAGUGUAUGAGGAAGGAAAGCCUGAUGGUUACGGAACCACUUCUGGCUAAUAAUGUCAGGGCAAAAAUGUGCAAUAUCUGUGGGUACUAGUGUUUGUCCACUUGUGCUGUCUGUGUCCCUUUUUCUUUUGAGCUUGUAUCAGGCUUGAGGUUCCCAUAUUCUGAAGUGCAGAUCCUCUCAGUAAGAUAGUAACAAAAGAAAUAGCCAAAAUACGGAACACCAUCGACAUCUAUAGUAAGGCCAAGUUGGUCAUCGAACACUUUCACGGGUGCUAAUCAAUUUCAUCCAAAUAUCUCUUCAAAUUGAUGCAUCGAUAGAUAAAUUGUUUUAAACAAGAAUCAGGCAGAUGCUAUUAAAAAGCGCACGUCGUUUAGUAAGUUAUCACUAUAAUAGAUCGAUAAAUGAUAAAUAUAUAUUUACUAAUUUUAAAUAAUUAUAUAAAUAUUAAUCAUUCGAUAAAAAAAUUCAAAUUUCAUCUCAUUCAGAGCCAAUUCUUUUUUUUUUUUCUAAUCACGAGAAGAGAAAGAAGUGAUAAUUUAAAUAUAAAAUCUCUAUUUCGGGCUUCAUAAAAUUCUUUUAAUAAGCAAAAGACUUAAUCGUGGUUUAUAACUAAUUUAGGUACCAAAACCACCACGUGUUUUCUCAUCCCCAUUUUUUCUGACAUAUGACAACCUUUGCAAGAAGACAAAUUUGAACGGAUACAAGGAUGUAGAUUUUGUUUUUCAUUUUAUUUUAACUUUUUGUGCUUUGAAAAAUAGCAAGUAAUUAUUAGAUUACUAAACUAAAAAACAUUAGCAAAGUUAGAAUGUGAAUUGACCUUUCUAAAGGACAGGAGGUCCACUGCCAUUAAAAUUUAUGAAAAACCUACUAAAAUAGAGAACCACACACAUGUCAUCAUCAUUUACCAUUAUAUAUAUAUACUUAUUCUUUUGGCAAUUUUAUCUUUUGUCUUUUUGAUUAAGCCAUUAGGACUUUUUUUAACUUUAUGCUUGUAUUCUUUCAAUAUCAAACCAAUGAUACUUAUUCCUUUUUCAAUGCCAAUGCCUUAACUUCACACUCCCCUUUCACAACUUGUCUAACUUUCUUAGCUAGUGAUCAGAAAAAGAAAGCUCUUCAAGAAGAGUUUAGGUCAUGAAACUGAUUCAUUAUUCCAAGAAUUUCGAGGUGAAUAUGAUUAUUACAUAUGUACCUAACGUGUCUUAGUCCGCAAAUUAGAUCUGACAAUAGAUUCAUAUAUCAGUUUUAGCAAGAUUUCAAGUUUGAAUUUCCU